CUGCACUUCGACACGGCACCAAUGCACUAGUGGACUACGGCAAGCUGAUGCCAUCCGAUGGAGCUUCGUACGGUAACUACUGCUGCUUACCUGGUGCCACAACGUUGGAUGAAUGCACAAAAAGUCCGGAACGAGCAUUUGUAUAGAGCAAAAUAAACGUUUCCUCAUU
rnacentral:lncRNA from 1 species